CCUACGGGAGGCUGCAGUGGGGAAUAUUGGACAAUGGGGGCAACCCUGAUCCAGCCAUGCCGCGUGUGUGAAGAAGGCCCUCGGGUUGUAAAGCACUUUCAGUGAGGAAGAACGCCUGGUGGUUAAUACCCAUCAGGAAAGACAUCACUCACAGAAGAAGCACCGGCUAACUCCGUGCCAGCAGCCGCGGUAAUACGGAGGGUGCGAGCGUUAAUCGGAAUUACUGGGCGUAAAGCGCGCGUAGGUGGCUUGAUAAGCCGGUUGUGAAAGCCCCGGGCUCAACCUGGGAACGGCAUCCGGAACUGUCAAGCUAGAGUGCAGGAGAGGAAGGUAGAAUUCCCGGUGUAGCGGUGAAAUGCGUAGAGAUCGGGAGGAAUACCAGUGGCGAAGGCGGCCUUCUGGACUGACACUGACACUGAGGUGCGAAAGCAUGGGUAGCAAACAGGAUUAGAUACCUGGUAGUC
rnacentral:rRNA from 1 species